AUUGAACGCUGGCGGCAGGCCUAACACAUGCAAGUCGAGCGGCAGCGGGAAAGUAGCUUGCUACUUUUACCGGCGAGCGGCGGACGGGUGAGUAAUGCCUGGGAAAUUGCCCAGUCGAGGGGGAUAACAGUUGGAAACGACUGCUAAUACCGCAUACGCCCUACGGGGGAAAGCAGGGGACCUCCGGGCCUUGCGCGAUUGGAUAUGCCCAGGUGGGAUUAGCUAGUUGGUGAGGUAAUGGCUCACCAAGGCGACGAUCCCUAGCUGGUCUGAGAGGAUGAUCAGCCACACUGGAACUGAGACACGGUCCAGACUCCUACGGGAGGCAGCAGUGGGGAAUAUUGCACAAUGGGGGAAACCCUGAUGCAGCCAUGCCGCGUGUGUGAAGAAGGCCUUCGAGUUGUAAAGCACUUUCAGCGAGGAGGAAAGGUUGAUGCCUAAUACGUAUCAACUGUGACGUUACUCGCAGAAGAAGCACCGGCUAACUCCGUGCCAGCCGCCGCGGUAAAAC
rnacentral:rRNA from 1 species